rnacentral:rRNA from 1 species
AGUGAACGCUGGCGGUAGGCCUAACACAUUCAAGUCGAACGGCAGCACAGGAGAGCUUGCUCUCUGGGUGGCGAGUGGCGGACGGGUGAGGAAUACACCGGAAUCUACUCUGUCGUGGGGGAUAACGUAGGGAAACUUACGCUAAUACCGCAUACGACCUACGGGUGAAAGCAGGGGAUCUUCGGACCUUGCGCGAUUGAAUGAGCCGAUGUCGGAUUAGCUAGUUGGCGGGGUAAAGGCCCACCAAGGCGACGAUCCGUAGCUGGUCUGGGAGGAUGAUCAGCAACACUGGAACUGAGACACGGUCCAGACUCCUACGGGAGGCAGCAGUGGGGAAUAUUGGAAAAUGGGCGCAAGCCUGAUCCAGCCAUACCGCGUGGGUGAAGAAGGCCUUCGGGUUGUAAAGCCCUUUUGUUGGGAAAGAAAUCCAGCUGGCUAAUACCCGGUUGGGAUGACGGUACCCAAAGAAUAAGCACCGGCUAACUUCGUGCCAGCAGCCGCCGUAA